ensembl:lncRNA
CCAAAAAUAAAGCGGCGGAGCGGGGAUGGUUGUCGCAAGGGGCAGAGCGAAGUUGUCAGGCGGGGAGAGCGUGUGAGGCGGCAGGACGAUAAUGUGGCAUGACACUUCUGAAAUGAGCGGCCCGUUGCCAUGGUGAGCAGCCAGGAGGGACCGGCUCUCCCGAGGCUGAAAUAAAACACGCUUUAAAUGAUGUUUGAUUAGAAUUUAGAUCAUGUAACCGAAUACCUCAGUCCUCCUCUUCCCUGUGCUUUUCUGCUUUUCUUCUCAAUUCUCCCUUUCUUCCUUCCACCCACUCCUCUCCCUACCCCAGGGCAGACAGACACACACUCAUGCACACACACUCACAUAGGCACCCACCCGCAGCAUGUGCAUUCACACACAUGACAUGUACACGUACAUACACACAUGUGCCCGCACAUACCAUUCUCCUUUCUCCAGUUGUUCCAUGCCUUGGUUGGACCUUGUUUCAGGAAAUCCAGCUCAGAGAAGAUGCUGGGGACCCUUGUGGGGUCACAGCACUGGUCUCGGGCUCACUGGUUUAAGUGUCUGCUCUUCUGCUGUAAUGACAAUGGUACUAAAACAAUGCAAGUGGUCUAAGCCUUUUGUUUAUACCGCCCUUUAUCCUUCGCAAAGCUCUUCCAGUUGCAAGCUCGUAUUUGUUCUCACUGCAGCCCUUUGCCUGGGUGCCAUCAUACCCAUUUUCUAGAUGAGGAAGCUGAGGCUCGAAGAGGCCUAACGUCUAGUCCAAGGUCACGCAGCUGGUGGGACGUGAACCCAGGGCUUCCAUAGGCUGCCCUUUGGGCUCUUGGGAGAAGCCCCUUCCGAAGGAAGGGAGUGCAGCCAGCUCUCCGUCCUCUGGGCCCUCAGACCUUUACUUGUCUGAUGCGUUUUGAACACCUACCUUGCUCUUGGUUCUGGCCUGUGCGAACCAUCCAAAGGAUGGGCAGAGAGGUUCCGACCCACUUCUAGAGGGCUUGGGGACCCACUUUGUGAUUUUCUGGCUACUUUUUUGUUUGGUAAUGGAUUUAUGUUGCGUUUGUGGUGGUUUUCCAGGGCACGCCUCCCAGGUGGGGAAGACAGCUAAUCCAGGGAUGGAGGGCACUGCCGCUGAUUAUCUAGAGUGGGGACAGAGGCAGGCUGGCAGGUGUGGACAGGGAAGUAGAGGUGCUCCCGGAGUCUCCAUUCCCGUUGGUGCCCUGGACCUUCUUGGAGGACAUGGGGUGGAACCAUCAUCCUAUUUCUGUGUCAGAGAGACAUGGCUUGACCCCCUGUCUGUCUUCCCUAACAGCCCAGUGUCUCCAGAUUGUCUCUCUCAUUAUCAGCCAAUCCAUCCAUCCAUCCAUCCAUCCAUCCAUCCAUCCAUCCAAGCACUUAGCCAUCACAAGCUCAUUCAGCACCAGCUGUGGGCAGGACUCUUACUACAGAAGCAGGCCUAGUGUCUACCUUCACAAAUGUGGGGGUUUGUGGGCCAGGGGCGGGUGACCUGGAGACAGACACCCAAACACACGCACACACAUGCACACAUAGAAUCUUCUUCAGGGUAGAGUGUGAAAUGCUCUGAUGGAGGAGGGAGCAAAGUGCUCUGGGAACAUCAAAGAUACCAGCCCCAUUGUGUCUGGUGGGGAUCAAGGAAGGCUUCUCAGAGGAGGUGAUGUUUGAAGAAAGAGUAGCAAAUCUUCAGGUGGUCAGACCAGAAGGGGCAGCCCAGAGGAGAGACCUCGAUGCGCAGAGGCCCACCCUUCCCUUGCAGCUGGAAGCUCCCUGGGAGGGAGUGUAUCUCUCCCAUUAGACUCUAAGCUUUUGAAAGGCAGAGACUGGCCCUGCCCCGUGCAUCUCCCCACAGACUGGGGGUUCCCUGAGGGGGUAGUGUCUUCUAUUUCUUUUGUCUUUUGCUAGAAGUCAAAGCCAUUUAUUUCUUUGCACAUCCUGUUAGCUCUGUGAAAGCAGGGACCCUGCCUUAUAUGUAUAAGUGUCUGGCACAGGACCUGUUACAUAAAAAUGAGUCAACAUUUGUUGAGUUCUUACUAUGUGCCUGGCAUCGUGCUGAAUGCUUUACCUGUUAUUGACUCCUUCAGUCCUUACAACAGCCCUUUGAGGUCAGUACCACCAUCGUCCCCAUUUUACAGAUGGGGACACUGAGAGUCUGGGAGGUUAAUUAACUUGUCCAUAGUCACACAACAGGUAGGUGGCAGAGUCAGGAUCCAGACGUAGGCAGUCUGACUCCAAAGCUCAUGCUCCACCCUUGAAUGUUGCAAACAGACUUUAUUUACCUGUGAGUUCAGGGAGCUCGGCAUCCCUGUGUGAGCUGGAGGGGCAGCACCUGACCAGCAGCAACAACUCCUGGUGUUUCAAGGGCAGGAAAGAGCAGGUGGGGUAUUGGUGAGGAGACAAGCCACAGACUGGUGUGGGGUCCCCAAAGGGAAGGAUGGAGGUGGGAGGAACACAUAAGUCUAGAUGAUUUAGCCAGUCCAGGCUGGGCAAGGGCAGAGGAAGUAGGACCACUGACAUUGACUGGGGUGGGCGUGGGCAGGGGCAGGGAGAGACGCGGGCUGGGAGGCAGCUGUCACCUCAGACCAGGCCCCUCUUGUCCUCCUUUGACCCUAUCUGGUCACUGCCAACACUUGCAGCCACCCCUGGACCUCUGUAGCCUUUCUCAGCUCCCCACCCCAGGCUCUCCUUCCCUCUCCUUCCUUCCCUGGCCACCAGUUAGCUUCCUAUAACUUAGAUUUGAUUGCUUCUUUCCUGUGCUCCAAAACCUCCCGUGACUCCGCAUGACCGAGGGGCCCAAGCCCAGAGCCCCCACACUGCUCUCAAGCCCCAGCAUGAUCAGGUCACAGCCUGCCUUCCUGGCCUUGCCUCUCGCACCUUCUCCUCUUGCACAUUGGCCAGUUCUUGGUGCCCUUUCCCACUUGUGCUCACUCAGAGUGCCCUCUCCAGGAAUGCCCUUGCACAUCCCUCCUCAAAGGCUUAUUCUUUCUUUCUCUUGUGGGCUCAGCUGAAGUCUUUCCUACUCUGGAACACUUUCCUUGACCACUCCUUCCAGAAGGUGUGUAUCUUAGUCAGCUCAAGCUACUGGAACAAAAUACCAUAGACUGGGCGGCUUAAACAACAGGAAUUGAUUUCUCACAGUUCUGGGAAGUCCAAGGUCAAGGCACUGGCUGAUUCUGUUCCCUGGGGAGGUCCCAAUUCCUGACUUGCAGGUGGCUGCCUUCUCUCUGUGUCCUCACAUGGUGGAGAGAGGGGAGAGAGUUCCGGUCUUUCUUCUUACAAGGCACUGAUCCCAUCGUGGGGGCCUCACCCUCAUGACCUCAUUUAACCUAAUUCCCUCCCAAAGGCCCCACCUCCAAAUACCAUCACACUGGGGUUAGGGCUUCAGCAUAGGAAUUGGGUGGUGGUCAGGGGGGGCGGGGCACAAACAUUCAGUCCCUAACAGCACGUCUGGCGUAUGCAGUUCAGAGUCUCCUGUUGUCUAACUGUUUCAGGUUGUUUCCUCAGUUUGACUAUAAGCUCCUCGAGGAGCAAAUUGUGGAUGGCAAUAAUUGUGUGCUGAUGUACCUGACAAUAACAACUACCUAUUACAGGACCAAAAACAUUUACACCCAGGGAUCCCUAGCCUUUACCCUUCCUCCACCCCCAAGGAAGUUUCUAGAAGUUUCUGUGUUUGACCCUCUUUGAGCCCCAGUUGCUCUGAGGGGGUUGGUGUGUCAGAGGAAAAUUGAAAGAAGACCAGAAAUCUCGGAUUAAUUUCCUUUGGAAAAAGCAGAGCCUGGUGAAAGGCUAGAAGAGGAUAAAGGCCGAAGGGUGAGCCGGGCACCUGCAGGGGCUGGUUGUGAGGAUGAGGGGAGCCCCAGGCACUGGCCGAGCUGAGGGAGGGAGCAGGAGGUGGACAAAGAGGAAGCUAGGAAGUGUUUACUUUGUCUUAGGCAUGUAAAUGCCCUCUGAGAUGCUUGGUAAGAACUGGAACAGAAUUUUUCUGUGGUUUGGGGUGGACUGACGUUUUCUCGGAAUGCAGCCCCACAGGGUGGCACAGAUUAGGUGGGUUAUGCUGUCAUUUGGGGACCACUGGCUCUGGGGCCAGCAGCUACCUUUACCUGUAUUGUUUUGAGUCUCAGUAACACAGCAGGGUCGGUGCUAGGAAUGGUUUUACUAAGCUUUAGAGAAUUCAGGAACAGUGAGGGGAGAGGAGGAGAGGGAAAGGGGUGAAUCUGGCCCUCACUCAGGCCUUUAACCCUUGACCUCUAACCCCAGAGUUCUAUAUUAGGAUGGGGCCACCAUGGCCAUUAAGCUCCGAGUUAUUGGAGACGUAGGAGGCUCAUUAGGCUAGAAAAUGAUGAUAUCAGCUCAGCUCUACCCACGGGGCCAAAGGUGGAGCAGGCCCAGGCCUCUGCUGCCAUCAGAGCCCAGAGGAAGAUGUGAUUCGUUAGCGGGAAAGUCCUCCUGUGAAGCCCGAAAUGGGAGGGAAUGGUGGGGAGGGGAUGUUCUGGGAGAUGGGCAUAGGCAGGGCCCAGGCAACUGGAUUACUGAUCAUAAGGCCUGAGGCCAAGGACAGUCUUGAUUGCGUGGCUCACCAGCGUGUCAGUGGGCUUCACCUGUUAGUACAUGGGGCCUCUUGGGUCAGGGUACAACCUUACAACUAAGAGUACCUUUAUUUGGGGGUGACAGGUAGGGCUUGCUCCAGCACCAUACAGGAAGAACAGCCAGGGCUUGGAGGUCAGGAAAUCUAGGUUCUAGGCCCCCAAAUUUGGCUUUAGGGGAGUCCGUUAAUUUUGCUGCGUGCCUCAGUUUCUUCACUGAUAAGUUGUGGAUGCAAGAGUCCAUGUUGAUCAUCUCAGAGGGUGCCAUAAAAGUGACGGUGGGGGCCGGCCCGGUGGCGCAGCAGUUAACUGCGCACAUUCCGCUUUGGCGGCCCGGGGUUUACCGGUUUGGAUCCCGGCUGCGGACAUGGCACCACUUGGCACACCAUGCUGUGGCAGAUGUCCCACAUAUAAAGUAGGGGAAGGUGGGCACGGAUGUUAGCUCAGGGCCAGUCUUCCUCAACAAAAAGAGGAGGAUUGGCAGCAGUUAGCUCAAGGCUAAUCAUCCUCAAAAAAAAAAAAAAAAAAAAGUGACAGUGAUUUGAGAGGUCAAGUCCACUAUUUCUGUGUGAGCUGGGGGUGAGGGUGGGGUCACCAUAACUCUUUUAGUGAGCAGAAGCCUGAGGACCGGCCCAUCACAGGCUCACCCCUGGCAUCGGCAGCCCCAUCAGGGUGGGUACCAUUAGUGAGCUCUCUGCAGGGACAGGAGGGGGCCCAGGCCUGGCUGGAAUCUGCAGAAGGACAGAGCUGAAAGAGGGGGUCCUGGCAGAGAGGAACUGUCAUCCCUGCUUUUUAGGGCCCCUUGGGAGAGAUAAUUCUUUGUCCUCUCCCCUUACCCUCCAUUCUGCCAACUGACUUGGAGCCCAGCAAUGAACAGUCAUAGUAGUAACAACAAUAGCUCACAUGCUAACACUCAGGAGAAGUCCCCUGCUCCCCCAAACAAAGACCUAGACUUGGGCACCCCCACAGUGGCUGCUCACUGCUUAUGUGUUCUUGAGCAAGUUAGUUCAUCUAUAAAAUGGGCAAACAUUUAUUGAGCAUCUAUUAUGUGCCACGUUUAAUUUAAACCUCACCACAACCUUUUGAAAUUGGCCUUAUUUCCUCCGAUUAACAGCUGGGGAAGCUGAGGCACAGAGGGGUUAAGCAAAUUACCCAAGCUAAAUGAAACAGGCUGAAACUGAACUUAGCCUGUCUCAGUCUGGAAUUUAUGCUCUUUCUAUUUCUCCUCAUUCCUCAGAGCGUAAUCCACAAAGCCUCAAUUCCCUCAGUGUUAAUAAGUGUUGUGUGGAAAAAAAAAAAGGGUUCUGUGGUCAGGUCUGUUUAGGGAAGGCUAUUUUUCCAAAAGCUAAAUAAGUUUUUUGCUGCAGGACUUCUCAGAGCCUUUAUUAUGCUGGUGGAUUGGGUAGUUCCGAGAGAAGAGCAGAGUUAGUAUUAAUUUCUUUGCUGUGAUAAGUUUGUUGAGGGGAAUCUUGUGGGGGACGCAUUCCUUGGAACUCGCUUUGGGAAAAGCUGUGCUUCACCCUGCUACUUCCCUGAUUAACAACAAUAGUGAUGACAACAGCAGUAACGGUAACACCGUGAAAGGGAUCAUCACUAUCAUGUUAGCUUUGUCUCAAUUGCAAUGAUAUUUUUUGGAGCUUUUUCAGAAAAUCACCCUUUCCAUCCUCCGCUGUUCUAAGCAUCCUAAUCUCUUUCUUGAGCUCAGGGCAGUUCCAGCCUGUAGCACUCACAGUUCCUUCUGCCUGGAGCUUCUCUCUUCUCCCCUCCAAGCCUUUGCUUGGGCCGUGCCCCUCCGAUCGCCCCCCUCUUCCUCUCCGCCCCCUCCCCUUGCUCCUGAGGAGAAAGGGUCGUGGCCAGGGCAUGUGGUGGGACGGCGACCCUGCGUCUCCUCCCCAUCCCCCAGCUCACCUCCACAGGACACCGUCCCAGGAAAUUCAUUUCAGGGCCACCCACAGGCCACUCUGGGGCUCUCUCAGUCCUAUGGCACCUAGUUUAUGUUAUACACUGCGCAAGGUGAGUGUACCGUAUUUAUUUUUUUAAAAAUAGUUUCAUUGAGGUAUAAUUUUAUAUACCCUAAAAUUCACCCAUUAUAAUAUUCAUUUUAAAAUUGUUUAUUAUAUUAAUUUUUUCCAUAAGGAAAAGAGCACAAAUCAGUACAUAGAGUGUUGAAUUUUUACAAAGUGAAAAGCUCUGUGUGCUCAGUAGCCACAUGAGAAGCAGCCGCUCUCCAGCGCCGCAGAGCCUUCCGGGGCGUCCUCCCAGGCACCCCCAGGGUUAAACGAGCUCCUGACUCCUAACCCCACAGAGGGCUGUUUGAAAGUAUACUUGCCAGCCUUUCGCUUUCCUUUUUUUCUUUGUUUUCCUCUUCCUUCCCGCCUUCUUUCCCUCCCUCCCUCCUCUCGGUCUCUCUCUCUCUCCCUCCCUCUGUCUCUCCCUCUCCUCCCUCUCUCCCCCGCUCUCUCCUUCCUCUACCCCCUCACUCCCUCCUUCCUUUCCUACUGCCUCUGCUUCCAAAUAGUUUCUUUGAGGGUCUAGUAAGAGGCCCAGCAAGAGAGGAUGGAAAGCCUUCAGCACAGUGCUCUGGGAGGCAGUGCGAGGUGGGGGUCAGGAGCUGCAAGACCUGGAUCCCAGACUGGCCACUGCUGGCUGUGAAGCCUGGGGCUUCUGACUGAACCUCUCGGUGCCUCAGUUUCCUCAUCUGUGAAAUGGGAAUAACAACAUGACUGACUGCAGAGGGUGUAGGGAAGACUGAAUAAGGUAUUUUCACCUUAUGCCUGCAAAGUGUUCACCACGCACCUGUGCUGGGAAGCCUCCGGAAAGGUCGCCAGAUAACGGUUUGUUAUAAGACGAGACUUGGGGACGUGAGAUGAGAAUCGCUGCCGUUUUUGAGCACCAACUCCGUGUUAGGGCUUUACCUCUCCUCCACACGGUGAUCCUGCAAGGAGAGAUUGUCAUCUCCACCUUACAGCAGAGGAAAUGAGGCCCCCAGAGGCAAGGCCUGAAGACAUAGGUUGGUAAGUGCUGGAGCUGGAGCUUGAACCCAAGGAGUCUGGCCCGAGCACCCACGAUCCUGACCACUAGGCUUGCCUUAUAUUAAUAUGUCCUGGGCCACGGCCUUUCCAGGCCCCAUAGGGUCUGGCUGUAGCUGUGAGCUGAGCACUGUCCUCUGCGGUGGACGCCCUUUGCCAUGGUCCCGUCCUCCCAGUGACAGGACGAGUCACAGGGCUGCCCCCCUUGAUGGGCUCAGGAUGUCCUCCUGGGGGUUGGGUUCUGGGAGGGGAUGAGUUGCCCACGGCAGAGCAUGGAGGGAACUGCCUGGCGGUAGAGGGUUCAGACCGCCCUGGCUAUGCGCAGUGCCUGGGCCUCCUGGAAGCACAACCUUCAGCCCAGAGAAGAGCCGAGCCCUAGCCAGGGGUGGCUACAGGUCAGCACUCAGGGUGUCGGAGAGGAGCAGCCACACCCUGCAGUUCUCCUUGUGGGGCCCAGUCCUGCCAGGCGGGCCUCAUGGCAUGGGGGGUGCAGAGCAGGCCCAGGCAGGUCAGGCAGAGGGUGCUGGUGGCUUCUCUAGCUGGGAUGGGGCCGAGGUGGUGUGAUUUGUCCCCCACCCCUGCUGAGCGCUCAGUAAACAGUGGGUCAUAGACUGCCAAGUCGUCUCCAACGGAGGGAGGGGUCACAAGGCAGGGGCUGUGUCCUCUCCAUCAGACUAGCUCCCUAGACUAGUCUGGGGCCCUGAGGCCUCCUUUCUGCCCGGCUUCCAGAACUAAUGGCUCUUGGUGUGGCCUCAGGGUGGAGGGCGAUGAGGGCAUCCCCACCUGGUGCCUCAGCCAACCCCUCACUUCUCGGUGGGCUUGGCAGGAGCGCUGACUCCACCUGCCCUCUUGCUGGCCUCAGCUGUCCCUGCCCUGACCUCUGGGUUCCCUGGGGCCAGCCCGGACAUCUGUAUCCAUCUUGCCCCAAACUCUGGAGAUUCUGACAAAUUUCCUUUCAUUGCUUCCAGCCAUGUUAUUUAAAGUAAUUAACCUUAAUUUAUAAAUUUUUAUAUCAAACUGCCUUUUAACUUUUAGAACUGGCAGGAGCAGCCUUAUCCCUGGGCUCCUAAUAGUUCUCCAUUUAAUCAAAAUUCAUCCAUCAGGUUCCAGUGUUAAAUCAUCUUUUAAUUGGGAGUUACAUUCUGGUUAAUAGUUUUAUAAUUCGCCUCCUCUAAUAGUUUUUACCACAGGGAUCUCUACUCCAUUUUUCCUCACUCUAUUAUUGCCGAGUGGGGUUCUGCGGGGACAGACGGCUUAGGUGGGCCCCGCCUCUCUGGCCUCUGCCGGUCGCCUCUUUUGUUCUUGGUGGUCUCAUUAAUUCCGAGAAGAGUUCUCUUCCCUCCUCGUUACUAGGGCAGACCUACUCUCCUCGUGAGGGACAGCCGUCUCGUUUCCACAGCCUUCAGAGCUGUGGCCAGGGCAUGACUCUCUCCAAGAGAAAGCAGAGAAACAGAAAGAGAGAGAGAGAAGGACACAGAAAGAGAGAGAGAGAUGGAGAGGAAGGAAGCUUCCGGAGACCGGCAGGUCAGGCCACCGCUGUGGGGCAGUUACUGGGGAGAGAGAGGCAGAGGAGUUUGGAAAUGGACAUGGCCCCAGCCUUGGGUCUUUCCUGGCUCCUGCCUGCCACCCCUCGGCCACAGCCCCUCCCACCUGGGAGUUGAUGAUGUAGGAAGGAGAAUGGACCUGAGACCCCAGAGCGGCUGGGCCUGGGGAAAUCCUGGAGGUCGGCGGGGAAGUCCAGGACCACUCCUCAUUCACUCUGGGCUGCUUCUGCGCUUGCUGCUCCAUCAGAAUAUUCACAGAGGAGUCACUGACGGCGAGACGGAGAGGGCAGAGAGGGUGUGGAGACCACAGGAUCAGGAACAGGAAGCGGGGAGAGAGAUCUGAGAGAGACAGGGAGGAGGGGAAGAGUCAAGAGCAAGAAAACAAAGAGGGAAGAGAAAGAGGGGAGAGAAAGGGAAAGGAAGGAAGGCAGACAGACAGACGGAGGACGGGUGCGGAGGAGACACUCUAGGGUCCUUCUGUCCGAGAGCCCUGGACGGCGAGCAGACAAGCUUGUGGGCACAUGCACAUCCACGUGUGCACACACGUGCACAGGCCUGAAACCAGACCUACGAGUAGCUAGCAUAGGGGUGAUGCUGGAUUGGGGGCCAGGCCUGGAGCCUGCGGGUAGGGUCUCUGAGAAGGCCUCAGGGAGGCGGACUGGAAGGGGUGAGUGAGGGGCCAGGGAGGGAUGGAAGCUGGGUCCCCAGGACCUGGGCUGAGGCCACAGAUGUGGACGUCCCUGGGGCAGGGGGACUUGGGGGCUGGCCUCAGCCCCCUCCAGCUGGUGACUUUCCAUCCCAGUGGGUCUCAGCCCUGACUGCGUGUUGGAGUCAACUGGGGAGUGUUUAAAGGCCCAGUGCCCUGGCCCUCCUUCACACACUGCAGUGGUUUUAAAGUAUAUCCAUACAUUCUUUGACACCUCUCCCUUCUAAAGGUGGAAUCAAAUUUCCUUCCCCUGGAAUGUGGGCUCCUUCUAACAAAUAAACAAAAACAGGCAGAAGUGACAGUGUGAGGUUUAGGAGGUUAGGGCAUAAAAGGCACUGCGGCUCCCACUUUGCACUCUUGGAUCACUCACUCGGGGGAAGCCAAGUCACAAGGACACUUAAGCAGCCCUAUGGGGAGGCCCAUGUGGCAAGAAAUUGAAGCCUCCCGCUGACAGCCAGCGAGCAGUAGAGACUUCCUGCCGAUAGCCAUGUGAGUGAGUCAUCUCGGAAAUCAAGCCCCAGUCUAGCCUUCAGAUGACUGCAGCCCUGGCAGCCAUCUAACUACAACCUCACCAGAGAUCCUGAGUCAGGACCACCUGGCUAGCUGCUCCUGGAUCCCUGACCAUCAGAAACCAGGAAAACUCUCAUUGAGCCCGUUUCACGGAUGAGACGGCUGAUGCUCAGAGAGCCUGAGUUGGAUCCUGUCGUCAAGGAGUUGGAGCCGCUGAGACUUGGCUGACUCAGCCCAACGGACCUGGCUGGCUCUGGUCUCUGGCAGAAGGCGAGGUGAGUGAGGGGACAGAGAAAGAGGGAGGAGAGGGAGGGGAGGAAGCAAAGCUCAAUGCAGAGCUGGCCCCUUGGGGCUGAGGAGCCCGUGUGUGUUUGCGGGGGUCUGAAGAGGGGGUCGGAGAGAUUGACUGGCACUUCUAGUGCCCUCAGUUGCUGGAGCCAGGCUGGCGUUCACCUGCAAUGCCAGCAGGUGGAUGUCCAGCUCUGGGUGGGCCGCUGAUCAGCCUCCUGCCUCACUUUGCUACCUUCACAAUAGGACUGUCACUGAGCCUAGGGGUGAUGGAACAGCUGAGGGGACCAAGGGGGGGACCUGGCAGCAGAAAGGGGAGCAGGGGAGAGGGUUUGUUCCCUUGAAAUCUCAGGGCUUUUAGCGCUGCCAGUCGGGGUGGGGAGGCGUCAGAACCCCUCCAGCCUUGUGGAAUGAAGUGUUUCUUUUCCCCAGUGGGUGAAGCGGGUGGUGGGGGGAAGGAAUAGAGGAGUGGUGGAGGAUAGGAAAUGCACUGGAGAAGCAGUGAGAGAAGAAGGAAAGAGACAGGGAGACCCAGCGGCAGCCUGAGCCGCAGCUGCAGAUCCUGACCCCAUAGGAGAGGCCAAGCUUGCAUCUUUGGAGUGGUGGCAAGGCUCCAGGAUCUCCGUUUCCAUGGGGAAGAAUUUGGACUCUGCUGCGUGGGGAGAAGGCCCAGCUUCCUCUGGAGUCCCUUUUGGGCAUGGAAGGGGCCAGCAGGGCUUCUCCAGGCCAGGGUUCCUCCCCCUCAGCUUAGAUUUGCAUGGAUGAGGCUGGGCUCACCUCCUUCAGCCACAGUUCACAGUAGUGGCACAGCCCAGGAUCCACUGAUGCCCAAGUCCUGCCUGGGUUUUGGCUUCUUGAUUAUCCUGGGAGGAGGGGUACCUAACCAGGCCCCUUUUUCACCCCCACCACCACAUGGCUGGCUUUCUGGAGGGAAGUGGGUGAGGCUGAGAGGCGAUGGGGUUGGAGGAAGGGCAGGAAGCAUUUCUCGGGAGCCUCCCGGGGAGGGGCAUUUUAUGUACCUGCCCUUUUGACUCAGCACCAUCUGUGGGGCAGAAAUUAUUACUCCCAUCUUACAUGUGAGGAAAGCCAGACUCAGAAAGGUUAAUUAAAUUGCCCAAGGUCACCCAGCCAGGCAGUGGUAGAAACCAGGAUUUGAAUCCAGGUCUGGCCCCAGAGUCUGGGCUCCUUCCAUGCUGCUGCGUGCAUGGGAUUAGGAGUGGAAAUGGAGGGAGAGCAGCUGCCGUCCAGUUAGGCCAGGAAUGGAGGGACUGCCGGAGUGCAUUGGGGCAGGGUGAGCAGGCUGCCUGUGUCCUCAGACUCGGAGAAUCACAGGUAGAAUCCUGGCUUUGCCACUCUCCACCUGAGUGAGGUUUGGCCAGGCCCCUCUCCUCUCUCAGCCACAUAUGGAUGGAGGGGCUGUGAGGGUCCCCUGGAUGUUUAUGAGUGAUGGAUGAGAAAGCAAGUGAAGAUGUGAGGAGGAGGCCCACCUAUUCUAACUCGCUGGAGUGCCAACUUGGACUUGGGUCAGAGUCCCUGCAGGGACCCAGUUGCUGAAUCUCUGCCCUACUACGCCCACCUAAAUGAGGUCCCCCAGCCUUCCCCACACACCACGUGGAUGCCAAGAGAACCAGCUGAUAGGCGGUGUUGGGGGGGGUGCACAUACUGGUGGCCCUGAUUCUGGUAGCUGCCUGUCGCACGAUGGCAUCCCCUCCCCUGUGAGGUCACCCUGAGAUCUCUCUUUCCAGGUUGGGUUAGUUGCUGUUAAUUAAACCAAUUGUUGGACUUAAUGCUCAUCCCAUUAACAUGUCUCCUAGACCUAUUAAUCACAGACAGUAGAGGAAGGGGACGGGAGGUUUGAGGGGUUUGGGGGGUGUGUGGAGGGUCCUGAAAACCAAGCCAAGCUGCCUCAUGAAGAAGAGAAGGGGCCUGAGACACCUGAGCCUACCCCUUGGGAGUCUCGGAAACUUCCAUUCCAGCCUCAGAAUUCCGGGAAGCCCACUGCACCUGCAUCCCCUGAGGUCCAGCUGAGGCCUUUUGGCUGCCGUGAGCUUUGGGACUUCUUUCCCACUCAGCUUCCCUGGAGCCUCUGGAGCAGAACCAGCGAGAGAGUAGAGGUGACGGCAUGGGUUUGAGCUGGGGGUCAAGAGCUCAUCCGUGAGGUCAGAGAGGAAGGUGAGGAGGUUCAGUGGGAAGGAGUGAGGGUUCCAGUAGGAGAGCCAGGGUUACCCCUGCUCCACCUAUGCACCCCUGUCCCAGUGCUGUUUCCUCUACAGCUCCUUGGGGCCAGGUGGGACUCCCCAAAUACCCCACUUCUCUGCUCAGGCCUUCGUGGGGGCGGGGUGGACCCAGAGGCAUAUGUUGGGCUCAGGCAGGGGUGCUCAGACAUCCGUGGGCCUCCCCCUCCGGCCUUCUUCCUCCCUCCUUCUCUCCCUGCUGGACCCGGCCCCCUCCCUCCAGUGUCAGGGGCCAGCUGGGGCAGGGAGGGAGCUAAGGUGGGGCCAGCAGAAGGUGCAUAAAUCAUUAUCGGCGAAGACCUCAGCCCUGAGCCGCUGGGUGGAGGCUGCUGCUCAUGGUUCAGGCCAGGGCAUAAAUCAUAAUUCCCCUACAAUAGAUCCUUUUGCAGCCGCCAUCAGGAAAACUGUGUUGGUUUUAUCGAUUUUUUGACACGGGGGCCUAGGCAGCGGGCGGCUCCUGAAUCAUUAUGAAAUGAAACUGAUUAGGAAUUCAUGGAAUACUAAAUAAACUUUACGAGCCCGUUGUAAGUUUUUUGAUGCAUGGGGAGCGGAAAAUGAAAACUAAUGAUAUAAAAAUUACACAGCGUGCUGAGUAUUAUUAUACCGCUAUUGAUUUGUUUCAAACUGUACAUCAAAAUCGAAGAGGGCUGGGGUGGCUCCUGCAGCGAUGCUGGGAUGUUUGGGCUCACCAGGGCUGGAAGACAUUUUUUCCUCCUAUUUUUAUUUGUUUUCUCUUUCUCUUUCCUUUAGCCUCCCUGCUCUGUAAUUGGACUCCUUACUCCCCAUCCCCACUCUUCCAGGGGAGGCCCCAGGGGGCCACCUAGCCACCCACCCACAGGGCAGCCUCCUCCUCAGCUUGGAACCUGGACCCUGGCUCAACUUGAAUUCUGGGCCUCCACUGGUCUUUCUCUCAGGAGCUGCAUUUUCACUCUGUGAGUUUCUCUCUUCUCUUCUGCUUUCCCCCUGUUUCUCUGAGGAAGGACAGUAUGCUUCAGGGAAAAGAGUGAAGAUCUGUUUCCUGAUUAGCACCUUGCUGUGUGACCUUGGGCACGGCACUGUGCCUCUCUGAAUAUCAAAAAGAUUGGACUUAUUAGAUCAAGGUUUCUCAAAGUGUGGUCUGUUGACAGCCCAUAUGUCAUCUUCAGAGCUUGUCAAAAAACGAAUCUGUGGACCCCCCUUGAUGAACUGGCUCCAAAUCUCAGGAGGGGGAUCUGGGAAUCUGCAUUUCACUAAGUAUCCCAUGUGACUCCUGUUCAUGUUCAAUGGAAGCCACUGUACCCUUUGAUUUGAAGCAACGUGGGGAGCCACUUGGCUCCCCAUUGGGUUGUCAUAAGUGGCCUUAAAGCUGUGCGCGUUGCCCUCUGUAGUAGUUAGCUUUUGCUAACUAAUUGUUUGCAGUAACAAUCUAUCCCCAAAUCUCAGUGGCUUACACCAACAAAAGUUGACUUUUUGCUCAUGGUACAUAUCUGCUGUGGGCCGUUGGUGGCUCAGCUCUAUAAAUCUUCAUUCUGGGGUUCAGAGUGAAAAAGCAGGCCUGAUCCAAGAUAUGUUAUUCUGGGGGCAGAGGGAAAAGAUCAAGAAAGAUGGUGGAAACAUGUGACACUCCUAAAGUUUUUGCUUGGAUGUCACUUCUGUUCCUCUUCCGUUCACCAAAAGGAGCCAUAUCAUCAAGUCCGGUGUCAAUGGAGUGGAGAGUACAUCCUCCCACAGGGAUGGGCACAGGGAGAAGCCCUGUAGGGAUGAGUCAGGAGAGAGGGCAGUGAUGCUGUAAGAGGCUUGGGCUUGGGUCUAGGCUGCCCCAGGAUUUGGGGUCCAGGGUCUUGUCUGGAUGGACCAGGGGGUUUGGCCUGAUGCAAUUAAGAAUGGAGCGGCUACUUUACACAGAUGUACCCACCUUACACAAUCAUGUGUCUCCUUGACAGUUGCCCACUGACUUCUUCCUCUGCCCGCUCUGAGAUCCUGGCCUUCCUCUCCGGGGUCCUCAGUGGGCAUGGCUUCAGCCCUUUGUCUCCAAGUGUCUGUGUUUUCAUCUUUCUGCCUGCCUGCUGGGGAGGCCUGUAAACUCCCACCCUGGCCUCUCAGUGUCAUUCCCAGAACCAGAUAACCUCCCAGCUCUGGGCAUGCCAGAGUGGCAUUCUUUGGAAGCCCAUUUAUACUUGAUGUCAGGGAUCCCUUGAGGACAACCACUGUGUUAACUUGGGCCUGGGAGAUGUCAGGGAUGUCAGCGGCACAAGCCUGGCCCUUGAGGACCUCAGUAUCUCUCUGAGGACACAGAAACACAUCCAUGCUAUGUACACACACUGCAUGCAGACCUUUUCAGAACUAAACAAAUGAAUCACACGAUGGUCCAGAAUGGACUCAGGAUGAAGAGUCUUCAGGUUUGAGUUGGAAUCUCAGUUCUGCCCCUUACUGGUUCUGUGGCUUUGGAUGUUACUUUGUUUUUCUAAAUCUGGGAUUCAGUUUCCUCCACUGUCAAAGAUGGAUUUGGAUUCAAUUCAUCUCAGAUUCCUUCCAGGGGAUUAGAGUGGGCAGCGGUUAACACAUUGGCACAAUUCCUACAAGAUGUUGAUGCCUAAAUUAGUCCCAACUCUUUUCACUUUGGGGAAAGAGCCAGAUAGAAACCUAAACUCAAGCUGGCUUGAGCAGAAGGGAGGUUACUGACUAUUGAAGAGGGGAAGGGCGUCUUUAGGGGCAGUGUGAUCCGGAAGUUCAGAAAACAUUAUCAAAGAUCCGUCUUCACCUCUCAGCUCUUCUUGGCUUCUUCUAGGCUGGGCUCUUCCUCAGGCUUGCUCUCUCCCUGUGAUCACAAGACGGCUGCCUAUAGCACUAGGCCCACAUCCUAAUGGUUCAACAAAGGGAGCAUCUCCUUCUCAGUAGUAACAGUAAAAUUCUCAAGACUGAGUGUCACUGGCCCAGGUUAGGUCACAUGUCCUCCCAUGAACCAGUCACUGUGGCCAAGGGCGGGGGGAGGAUUUCAGGCCCAUAGCCAACCCUGGAGCUUGGGAGUGGGCUCUGCCUCUGAGGGCCACAUGGACUCAUAGUGGGAGGGGGAUGCAGGCACCAAAGGAAAUUUGAGGUAGUUUUAAAAGAGAUAGAUGCCAGGCAGAUAAAAGCCAUACGUGUCCCCUGAAGUCCCUGAGGUCGGGGGCAGGAGCAGUGGGCAGGAUGAGGGCAGAGCCUGUGAGGAUCUUCUGGCCCUAAGUCAUGUCUGCAACUUUGGCGACAGCUGGGAUAAAGCCCAAGGCUGGAGGUGAGGGGUCCUUCCGCUGUCGGGGGAGUGUCGAGACAGAAAUGCAGCGCUGAGGCUGCCUGGGGCAAGGGGACAGAGUGCCCGUCUUCAUUUCUGCAUCAGCAUGGCUGGUGAGCCCUGAGCAAUGCUGAUCUAUAAAGUUACACACCUGGGGGCGCAUCCGGCUUUACCUCCUCCCAGCUGUGUGACCCUGAGCCAGUCCCCUACCCUCUGAGCCGAGUUUCUGAGGACUGAGUGGGAAAAUGUAUGUGCUGGCCCCACUCUGGCUUCCAGAAGCUGCUCAGGUAGGACUCCUCUGCCCCCUGGAGAAUCCAUCCUGGGUUCUGAACUAAUAGGUCUGCGGAGUCCUCCCCUCUGGUCUUUGAUGGAGGGCAGGACCACAUCACAUUCGGGGUUGUUCCCAGCUUUGGCACCACGCUGGUGCAUGGUCUGCAGUCCAUGGAUGGCUGUGGAAAGGAGUAAUUGAUCGGGCAAUCCUCCACAUGCGGGACCUGAAUGCAGGUCAGCCUCUGCUCUACCCCCACGCUCACUCUGUAGCACGUAUCACAUAUAUAUCCAAUUCCCAAAGUGUGGGUGGGCAGAGGGGAUUUUACUGAAGUUUCCAUGGUAAGACAGGGGAACAGAUGACAUCACACAGCACACUCCAAACUAGUUACACCACUCGCUGGGCUUCUCUCUUCUCUUCUUCCAGACAGCACUUAUUCCCUCCUCUCCAAUCCCAGUUUCUUUAAAAAAAAAAACAACUCAAAACCUCAUUUUGUGUCCAUGCAGCAAAAUAAAAGCCUGAUGGGACACAGACCACCUGGCCUAGGCCCCCACGAUGACCCCAUUUGACUUGCUUCAUCCCCAUCUUUGCACUACGGCUAACCACUUAAUCCCCACGAGCCCUCUGUGCCCCUGGAUGCCCAACAAUCCCCUCAAACUGCCCCCUAUAUUGAUACCCUGAGGCUCAGAGAGGGGAUGUGACUUGCCCCGUGUCACCCAGCCCCAAUGCAGGGCUCCUCCCACAAUGCCCUGGCUGUGCUGAGGGGGUCUAUGUUUGGCCCCCCCCAUGCCCAUUUGCCCCCGUGGGUGGGAGAUGUGGAGUGGGGCAGGCUUGCUCCUGGCUGGCUGGCUCCCCUCACGGAGUUUGGGGUGCUACACACGUUACAUUUGAAUGUGGCUCUGAGCAAGCCAUUCAUCCGUUCUUGACCAUAUCGACUGCGGAAUUGAGUGCUACAAGUAAGAAGGAGUUUAGCUAUUAUUCUCCUACUGAUUUGAUUUAAUGUUUGGUUUAUUCCUGUCCCUCUCCCCCCUCCUCAUCAGUUUGACAUUUGCAUAGUGUUUCCCUGCAGUUUUGUAGAACACACGGUUUUUCUGGUAACUCCCUGCUAUGGUUUUAUUCGGAGGAGGUUUUUUGUUUUGUUUUGUUUUUUUGAGGAAGAUUAGCCCUGAGCUAACAUCUGCAGCCAAUCCUCCUCUUUUUCCUGGGGUAGACUGGCCCUGAGCUAACAUCCCUGCCCAUCUUCCUCCACUUUAUAUGUGGGACGCCUACCACAGCGUGGCUCGCCAAGCAGUGUGUAAGUCUGCAUCUGGGAUCCGAACUGGAGAACCCCGGGUUGCCGAAGCAGAACGUGCAAAAUUAACCGCUGCGCCACCAGGCCGGCCCCCAUUCGGGGCAGUUUUGAGCCCGCUGAGGCAUCUUCUUCCUUCCCUACUCUGAAUUUUUUCUCCCCACUUGCUGUGGGGAGGGGCACGUGAAAAACCAGAUUUCCCUGUUCUUGCCCCUUUGUGAGCCUUUAUGAGUCCUGCUGCCUGGCAGCCUUCAGGUGUUCCUGUGUGUCCUGGGCGCUGGGGGUCUCAGCGUGCUCAGGAAUAAGUCUGCCCCCUACCGCUGGGUAACCUCUGCCAAUGCCUCAGAACACUUAGGGUGCUGGAGCUGCCCAUUGGUGAGGUGGCGUGUUCUGUCCCCUCUGUCUCUUGUGCUGCCUUUUGUCAGAGGGACCCCAAACAGGGUGCUCAGGCCUCAGGGUUUACAGAAUACCUGGUGGCCUUAGUUUGAUGUCGCCCAGAAGCAGACUCCUAAACAAGGAUUCAGUGGAAAUGGUUUAUCUGGGACGUGAAAGAAAGUCUGGGAAGGGGUGGGACAUAGGACAGGGAGGGGUACCCCCUGGGCUAGUUGAGCUCCAUCCCAUCCCAGCUCCCCAGGUUGCCCAAUAUGCCUGAGCCCCCAGGGUGAGCAUGCCAGGGAUGGGAGGGGCUCGAGUUGGGAGCCCUCCUCCCCACGAGAAGGCUAUUGAGCCCACUGGGAAAGGGUCCAGUCAGGACAGGAAGGCCUUUAGCAGAAAUCUGCAGGCUCCUGUCCCAACUCCUGUGUCUGGACCCCUUUCUCCAGCUGGCCCUAGAGCAGAGCUAGAACCAGUGGGAUGAGGUCGCAGGAAGGCAGCCAGAAUCUCAAAAGGAAGCCGACACGUAGGCAAAUGCAUCAACAACUCAAGGGUAAAAAGCGAUCAAGCAGAGGUUGAGUGAUCACCUGCCCAGGGAUGCCGUCAGCAGAAGGCAGGGAAUCAGCACAUAUUAAACACCAACUAUGUGCCGGCCCUGGAUAGUUGGGACUAGGAUUCAAGAUCAUUAAAGGCUGGGGCCCAUGUUUUAUUUUCCCUUGGGGCCUAGCACUGUGCUUGGGUCCUGGUAGGUAAAACCUAGAAUAACAGGAAAUAACAGGAAAAAUGGUCAUUUACAGUCACCUUCUAGGCACUAAGUGCCUUAUAUUCAUUGUAAUGAGUCCUUAUGACUCAUUACAUUCAUGGUAGGAACUAUUAUCCUCAUUUUAUAGAUGAGGAAACUGAGGCUCAGUGGGGUUAAAUGACUUGACAUCUAAGUGACAAAGCCAGGAUUUGAACACAGGUCUGUCUGCCUUCUCUAGUCCCUGAUUUUCCCCCUCCCUUGUUGCAUGUCCCUGCCCUGCGAGGAAGAUUGGACUACAGAUGUCCUUGGAAGGCCCUCCAACUUCCGAGGGUCUUUCUUGUUAGCCAGCGCCCCCCCUUGCCCCUGCUGACCGCAAAGAAAAGGAGUCCUUCCUCCUCCUCAGGUGGCUCAUGGCGGAUUACUUAGCGCUUGACACGGCGUGUCUCUGUGUCUCUGUUCCCGGGCGGAAUUAAAUCAGGACAGGAAAAUAUUAAUUUGGAGUUGGGGAUGAGGCCGCUCCUUUCCAAUUACUCUCCACCCCGUCAGGCUUAUCCUGGCGCAAACAAGGAAAGAGGCUGGAUUAAUUGCUUUGGACUCUGCCCCACUCCAGUCCCAAUUACUGGGCCGGCUUGGCUCCCAGCAUUAUGAAGUGCACUGCUGUGCAGGAAAUUGUGUGAAAUUUUAACGGAUUUUCAGAUGCAAUAAUAGAGCACAGGAUUCGGGGCCAGCAUUUGCCGGGCGGCUGGGCCCUCUGUGCCUCAGCUGAGGUUAAGCUGUUUGGGGUUUCUUUGUGUAUUAAAGGAUCAUCUGAUUAACUCCAAACCCAGGGCCCCCAGAACGGUCCAGACCCUGACCCUGCAGAGGCAGGGUGGGCUCCUGGAGGUCAAGGAAGCCCAUUGCCUUGGUAAUAAUGACACCAUUUUCUGAGCUUCCUCACGUGCCAGGUGCUUACCUACAACAUCUGGAAGCCCCAUCCUUUAGGUUCUUAUUUUUUUUCCAUCUUAGAGAGGAAGAAAAGGGGACACAGGUGUUAAGUAAUGUGCACGAGGUUACCUGGUUACUUAGUGGGGAAGCCGGGAUGGGAACCCAGGUCUGUCUCUAAAACUACCCUCUUUUCUGGCAUCGCUCUGCCUCCCCCCUCAUCUUCUAUUCCUUCUUCUUAAGGAAGCAUUAUGAAUGUGUCUCUCUCACCACACUGGAGCUUCCAGGGUACGAGGUCCUUUCUUGUUCCGUCUCUACAUCUUCAGCCACUGUCAGGGCACCUGGCGCACAACAGGCACCCACCAGAGGUUUGUUGAGCUGCAGUGAAUUUGAUGCAGCUCCUGGACUCCAGGAUUUACUAAUGGAAUGAAGGGGAUGGGCUAGUGCAGCCCAGAGACAUCUCUGGAUCCAAGAGAACCAGCCCCACUGGAGCCCGUCUGGAACCCAGAGGAGGAAGGAGAGAGGGGAACCUAGCCCCGCCCUAGUGUGUAACAAGCGCUGCUUAAGUGCGUCUCGUGUAGAGUUUCUGCUCCUCCUCACCAUGACUGUCAGAGAUAGGUGGCAUCACCCACACCUGAGAACAACGGAAAUGAGGCUCAGAGAGGUAAGGCCUGGGGUGUGGGUUUCCAGCUCCAGGGUUUCCACAUCUCUUAAAGCCAUGGCACCUGUGGUUAAAUGGUAACAUUCUACUCAGAAGUUUAAUAUGUCAAGCUGGUAAAGUGGAAAGGCUCCGGUGAAAGAGGGACAUUGGGACCCUGUAUGGCCGCAGAGGAGUUGGGGGACCAGGACAGAGCUGGCAAGAGUGGUGACUGACUUGGAGAAGGGGACAGUGGUAAGGAGCUUGGGGCAGUAAGUGCUAUGUAGUUCACAAACCUCAGACUUUCUUGGGGCCACCUCACGGAGAGACAAUGAGGCUCGUGUGGUAGAGAUGAUGAGGGAGGUGGAGGAAUGGGGUGAAGCCUGCGUGAUCAUCAUUAGCUGUCCAAUUCUCGCCUGCCCCGUUUAGCAAAAGGAGAAUUAAUUAUGUGCAAGGGAUGCCCCCUUAAUGGCCAUCAUUUAGUUUAAUUUAAGAAACAGGUCUCUCCGCACACCCUCUUAGCCGGCAGCCCCACCACUGGCAGCCGCCUUGAUUAAUGGCCUCCUCCUGGGUACAGGAGAGCAGUGGUUCUCAAACUGGAGCAUGCCUCAGAAUCUCCUGGAGGGCUCAUUAAAACAUGGUUUGCUCAGCCCCACCCCUGGGUGGUGUCCGAUAAUUUGCAUUUCUUACAAGUUCCCAGGUAAUGCUGCUGUUACUGUCUGGGGAACACACUGGAAAUCACUGUAGUGGAGACAGGGUUUCAUGCAGCGCCAUCAUAGCACUUGAGAACUCGGUCCCUCACCCCCCAGGGGUCCUCUAAUCUAAUGGGGCAGAGGCAUAGCCAUCUCUGCCAUUUUACUACCCCGCAAGGGUAUGUGUCCCUCCAGUGAAAGAUAAGUGCAUUUUCUCAGCAUCUCAGUGGCCCCUCCCCUCGGCAUUUCUGUUCAGAGAGGCCUGGAGGAACGCCAAGGGCCUGGUUCCUUGACCACUCCACUGAGAUGCAGCCCCUCCUAAGCUGGGUUCUGGGGACACCCACUUACUUCAUCCUCAGCCUCAAAACCCGAGAGGCCCAAGGGAAGCUGCACCCUGUUCUGCAGGCCCUCUGCUCCUAUCCAUCAGGUGAGAGGUCAGGCAGCCAGCGUCUCUGGAGGCCUGGCAGUGGCAGGAGGACACCUACAAUUAGAGGCCUAAUUGUGGGCCACAGGCAGCCUCCCACCCCCAUGGACUCGGCUCUGCAGGCUUUGCCAGAACUACCAUCCAGAGAGCCUGUUUGCACCUGUGUCAAGGAGAGCUCAGGAAACCUAAUUAGCUAGUUUGGUGUUUUAUAAUUAGAUCCUUUAAAAUAAUUCAUAGGUGGUGAUAAUAAGCCCAUUUAGAAAUCUAUUAAGCUUUGGGGGAAGUUGAAGGGAAACCUUGUAACUAUGUGCAUGCGUGCUUUCUCUUUCCCCUCAGUGUCUCUUCCCUCCACUUCUCUCUACUUCUCCUCCUGCCCGCUGUCCCCAUCUGCAUCCUCACUUCCUCUGACUCCUCCACCAUGCUAAGUGCUGAGGCCCUUUGAUUGCCACUGUUGGUCAGGCAGUGGUGCGCACUGGUUCAGUUAAUCCCCCCCACAACCCGGAGUGGGGUACUAGCAUUAUCCCCGUCUUACAGACCAGGGGACUGGAGUGCAAAGAGGUUAAACAUCCCCGCCGAAGCUACACGCCCUUAAGUAGCUGAGCCAGAAAAGCUGAGUCUGGAUGGUCUAGUUCUUAAUUUCUCACUUUCCUCAGCCUGCGUCACCCUGUCCACCCACAGCCCUGGUCCUCCUUGCUCCAGUGCUCCCACCAAGCCGGCUGAGCUGAAAUUUUACAAAUCACACUCCUAUUUUCUCAAAGAAUUGGUGCCAGGGCUUCAGCGCUAACUUCAGAUGGGUCCGUAAUGGACAAUGGCUUCGAAUACAUUUUGCUUCCCCAGCAACUCUUCCCACUUGGAUUUCUGCCAAGGUAGUUCGGUAGAAGGAGCAGGUUGAACGCUUCCCUCCCUCCCUCCUUCCUCUCUUUCUUCCAUCCUUCUUUCCUUCCUUCCCUCACUCCUUUCCUUCCUUUCUCCUUUCUUCCCUCUCUCCCCUCACCUCCUCCUUUCCCUGUGCUGGGGCUGAGGAGCCAGAGAUGGAGUCAGCCAGUUUCUAGCUGAGGAGCCCAAGGGGUCCCCUAAUGCCUCCCUAUCUUCAUUAGACACCCCAUCUCUCUCUUACCACCCUAUGUGUUUCCCUCACGGCACCUAUCAUCACACGACAUUCCCUCGAAGAUCUGCUCGCUUAUUCAUUUACUCGUUUAUUGCCUAUCUCUCCCCAUUGGAACGCAAGCAUCUAGAGGGGCAAAGACGGGUCUGUGUGUCUCUGAUUUCCUGGGGCCUGCACUGCUUCCUAGCACAGAGCAUGAUUCAAUAAAUAGUGUUGAAUGAGUGAGUGUGUUGAACCUGAUCUUCAGUUUCCUUAUCUACAAAAUGGGGAAAAAUUUCUCCUCUGCAGGGUAGUAAAGUGCCUGGUCCACAGCAGGUGAUCCACGAAUGUUGGUGCCCUUCCUCCACGCUCCCGUCCCAUCUGCCGUGCCCAGAGAAGUUCUGGUACUUUAAAAACCCUGUGAUGACUGCUCUUUUUUAUAGUGCAAGGACUUUUUUUGCAAAGCAAAUGAGCCCUCCCAGAUUUAUCUACUUUGGAAACUGGGUGUUUUUGUUUGUAUUGGACUUUCUUAAAGUGAGCCAACUGAGUGUGUAUAACUAUAGAAAUGUAUAAAUGUAUAUUUUAAUACCUUGUUGCAAUAGUUCAUGAUUAUGCAGAUUCCGAGAGAGUAGGUUCAAAUUACGCCUCCUUGAAGCAUACCCACGACUGCAGAGACACAAACUUCAGAGGCAGGGCUGCCGCAGCUCAGCAUGGCUGGCGGAGAGCUUGCCCUGGUCACGGCUGGGUUUGCAUCAAGGAGCCUCCACUUACCAGUUGCUUGACCAGUGGGCAAGCUACUGACCCUCUCUAGGACUGAGUUUUCUCUUCUGUAAAAGGUGGGGGGAGGGCCGGUUAACAUUUGUAUCCAUCUUGUAGCAUAACAAUCCUGUUAAAUGACGCCAUGCACUCAUUCAUUCCAUGAAAGCUUAUUGAACACUUCCUAUGUGUCAAGCACUGUUCUGAGCUCUGGUGAUUCAGCAGUAAGACAUACACUGCCUCAUGGGGCUUACAGUCUAAUGGGGAGAGAAUGUACAUGGAGAUCUUGAAACAGUGCUCAAUGAGUGCUGGCCAGGAGGACGACUGUGUGUACAGGGUGGCUCUACAGUGACAUCGUUUAUGGAUAUAGGUCCGUGUCUCCAUAGCUUCUUCUCUGGGAGAAGAUGUACAUGUGGCUGGACAUAUCUCCAUGGAACUGACCUAUGGCAGGAGUUGGAACUGCUCCUUUUUUUCAUGAGCCUGGGAUUCUUUGUGUGUGUGUGUGUGUGUAUUUUGGGACUGGUGGGUGUGGGAGGAUGUGUGGCAUUCUGUGGACAGGUCUCAAUUUCAUCUUUCCUUGCCCCCCUUCGUGUACGACUUAUUGCCUUCUCUCACAUGCACACUCCUCCUUCCACACUCUGCUUUGGCUCACCCUGUUCCCUGCUCCUGAACUGCUUGCUUCCUGUCCCUGCAAACACCACCUGUCCUUCCAGGUCCUCCUUCAUGAAGCUGUCCCUGCCCGCUCAGCUGGAAGAAAUCCCUCCCUUGACUCUCCAUCUUCCUCCUCUCUCACGGCUUGUGUCCCUUUCCUUCCCAGUGUCCCUUGGCCUGUUUCUGUUCCCCUGCUGGGCCAUGAACUCCUUCAGGAAUAGACUCUGUUCUAUUCAUCUCUGUGUCCUCUGCACCACCUUGUUUUACUUGAAAUAGAUUCCCAACAAACAUUUCUUAGGCAAUUACACAAAUGUAUGGCUUAGCAGAUUUAUUUAGAAUCAUCAGACUUUAUACUUUUUCUGGGUGUGGGAGAUCCGAAGCAGGCGCCUUGUGUGGAGCAAUAAUGGCCUUUUUUGCCUGUGUGCAGAAGCUCCUGCGUGGAUGCUGCAACCCACGCCUGUGUACUUUCACACGCAUCCGCGAGGCCCUGGCGGUCGUCUUGGGUGUGUACGUGGGGGGAUAUGGUGGCAGCCCAGUGCCCAGUGAUGGAUGAGGGGGGUGGAGGUGACUUUCCCAAGGGAAGAUUAGCGCCUGGCAGCUAUGAUUUGUCUCGUGCCCUCCUGUCCUUUUGCUGGGCCCCACUGCAGAGCCAUUCAUUACAGAGGCUGCUGUCACAGGGCUGGGGGCAGGGGCUGAGCAAUGUGUGUUGGGGAGGUGGUGGGCUGGACCCCUUCCUCGGAGAGACUCUCGUGCUAGAGACCAGAGCCCACUCUGCGGCCAUGUAGCAUCCUCCAGAGUUGUGAAGAAGAGGACCGAGUUGCAAUUCACCUUCUAGGACAUACCCCCGUGCUCAGGGGAGGGGUGUCCAUUCCUCCAUUCACUCACUUGACAAACAAUUUCCCUAAGUGCCCACCAGACCUGUUCUCUUGCUUUAAGGAACUCACCCUCACUGGAGGAAGGUGGGCAUGUAAUCAGACAGUGCAAGGAGGGUGGCAGGCUUGUGAGUCAGGCGCCCUCCAGCCUGGAGCACCUGAGGGCAAGCGAGAAGCCACAGAGGAUGGUGGAAAGAGCACUGAACUUGGAGGCUGAAAACUUAGGCUUGAGUCUUGGUUUUAUUACUUACUAGUGUUGUGGCUGUGGACAAAUCACUUCAAACCUGCUUAGUUAAGCCUUAGUGCUUUUUCAAUUGGAAGGUGCUGUACAGGUGUGUGGGAUCAUUGCUUCCUCCAUUCUGCUGCAGGGAGGGGUGUGGGCACAGGGAAGCUAGAUGAAAUUCCAAGAAAAAAAUAAUACCCCCCCCUUGUAUUUAUACAGCCCUCUACAGUUUACAACACAGUUUUACGCUCUUUAUAUUUCUUGAUCCUUACAGCAACGUUGCAAGCUAGGUCAAGGCAGGCAUUAUUAACUCCCAUUUUGUGGGGCAGAAAGAAGCUCAAAGAGGACAAAUGUCUUGCCCAAGGUCACUCAGUUAGUAGGUGGAUGAGCUAGGACUGGAAUCUCGUUCUUUCUGAUACUCAGGCCUGUGUACUCUUUUCCUAUUUUCUACACACCGGAGUUCCUCCUCUUUGAUAAGACCCUCCAUUCAUCUCUGCUCCAGUCUGGAUGAUAUUACCCCCACCCCUUGAGACCCCCAUCUCAUGAAUGGACGCAGUACUUUCCCCAUUCCAACCUUCACUGUGCCAACUCAUGGCCACUUUUGGACACAAUGGUGUCAGGGGGUGGGGGAUGAGCAAAGAGGAAUCUUAGAGGGAGAGAAGAGGGCAAGCGGAGAUUUUCCAAAAGCCCUCACCCAAAUCUGGCAUGCCAACUGUUAAAUUAGUAUGGUAAGGGGAGAAGGAGAAGAAAAUGCAAGAAAGAAAGAAAAAGAGAGAGAAAUGUAAAUUGGGAUGGAGAGUGUGAAGAGGGAAUGGGGAAGAGGAAAUACAAGUGAAUGGGGGAUGAGACAGGAACGAAUCUGGGAGAAGUGAGGAAAGAAGGAGAGAAAGGGGGAAUGAGG